GACGAACGCUGGCGGCGUGCUUAACACAUGCAAGUCGAACGGAAAGGCCCUGCUUUUGUGGGGUGCUCGAGUGGCGAACGGGUGAGUAACACGUGAGUAACCUGCCCUUGACUUUGGGAUAACUUCAGGAAACUGGGGCUAAUACCGGAUAGGAGCUCCUGCUGCAUGGUGGGGGUUGGAAAGUUUCGGCGGUUGGGGAUGGACUCGCGGCUUAUCGGCUUGUUGGUGGGGUAGUGGCUUACCAAGGCUUUGACGGGUAGCCGGCCUGAGAGGGGGACCGGCCACAUUGGGACUGAGAGACGGCCCAGACUCCUACGGGAGGCAGCAGUGGGGAAUAUUGCACAAUGGGCGGAAGCCUGAUGCAGCAACGCCGCGUGCGGGAUGACGGCCUUCGGGUUGUAAACCGCUUUCGCCUGUGACGAAGCGUGAGUGACGGUAAUGGGUAAAGAAGCACCGGCUAACUACGUG
rnacentral:rRNA from 1 species